AGAGUUUGAUCAUGGCUCAGAAUCAACGCUGGCGGCGUGCCUAACACAUGCAAGUCGAACGAGAAAGUGGAGCAAUCCAUGAGUAAAGUGGCGCACGGGUGAGUAACACGUGACUAACCUACCCUUGAGUGGGGAAUAACUUCGGGAAACCGAGGCUAAUACCGCAUAACACCUACGGGUCAAAGGAGCAAUUCGCUUAAGGAGGGGGUCGCGGCAGAUUAGUUAGUUGGCGGGGUAAUGGCCCACCAAGACAGUGAUCUGUAUCCGGCCUGAGAGGGCGCACGGACACACUGGAACUGAAACACGGUCCAGACUCCUACGGGAGGCAGCAGUGGGGAAUUUUGCGCAAUGGGGGAAACCCUGACGCAGCAACGCCGCGUGGAGGAUGAAGUCUCUUGGGACGUAAACUCCUUUCGAUCGGGACGAUAAUGACGGUACCGGAAGAAGAAGCCCCGGCUAACUUCGUGCCAGCAGCCGCGGUAAUACGAGGGGGGCGAGCGUUGUUCGGAAUUAUUGGGCGUAAAGGGUGCGUAGGCGGUUCGGUAAGUCUUGUGUGAAAUCUUCGGGCUCAACUCGAAGUCUGCACGAGAAACUGCCGGGCUUGAGUGUGGGAGAGGUGAGUGGAAUUUCCGGUGUAGCGGUGAAAUGCGUAGAUAUCGGAAGGAACACCUGUGGCGAAAGCGGCUCACUGGACCACAACUGACGCUGAGGCACGAAAGCUAGGGGAGCAAACAGGAUUAGAUACCCCGGUAGUCC
rnacentral:rRNA from 1 species